rnacentral:lncRNA from 1 species
CGAAGGACUCGCUGGAAAGUCCUGCACACCAAGCUUGCCCCUUCUGCAUAGCUCGGGAUUUUCCAAAUGCAGACCAAGAGGGAUUGAGCUCUCCCCUACCCUGCCUGGCCCAGAAGUUCCAUUUCCUACCUCCUUCUAGCAGGGGAGCAGGGGCCUUCCUUGGUGGCCCCCAGGAUGGCCCUAUCUCAGAAAGACACAACCACGACUUCUCUGUAUAAUAGACACCACCACACAGUAAGUAGUGGGAGGAUGGGGUGGGGGAGGACUUUU